UACGUAGGGUGCGAGCGUUGUCCGGAAUUAUUGGGCGUAAAGAGCUCGUAGGCGGUCUGUCACGUCGGCUGUGAAAUCCCGAGGCUCAACCUCGGGUCUGCAGUCGAUACGGGCAAACUAGAGUACUGCAGGGGAGACUGGAAUUCCUGGUGUAGCGGUGAAAUGCGCAGAUAUCAGGAGGAACACCGGUGGCGAAGGCGGGUCUCUGGGCAGUAACUGACGCUGAGGAGCGAAAGCGUGGGGAGCGAACAGG
rnacentral:rRNA from 1 species